UUUCCUAUCAUAUUAAGUUAAAAAACUAAGUUAGAUGGUUUCUUUCAAACUCUUCUUGUACUAAGGUUUUUCAUUAUAUUUUCAUAGAAAUGGCUAGAAAUGACGAAUGAUCAAACAGCAUAGCCAACACUGUCGGGAAAAUCAAGUUUAAAGUUUAAAAAAGUUUUUAAAUGUUAUUUGAAGGCGAUGAGUUAAUUCAUCACUCAAAACUCAAAAGUCACAACUAUAUUAAAGUAUGAAUAAAUAUAGUAUAAUAUAAUACAGUACCAAUGAAAAAAGAGUUUAGAAUAAUCAAUUCAAGACUAGCAUAUCUAAAAAUAGAGAUCAAAUGGUUUUAUAUUGUAUUCCGUAGUAUAUUUGGACUUAUGGAGAAAAACGAAACAAGAAAAAUACUUUUAUAUAAAGAUAGAAUUAUCACUAGAAGAGAUUAGUAUUAGCAAAAUAAAACUUCUACUAGGAGAUAUGAGUCAAAAUAGGAAAUGAGAGACUUUUUAGACUAACUAUUGGUAUCUAUAGUUUACAUGACAUAACUAAUGCCAAUGAAACAAAGGUAGUUGAGUUGGUCUUAAAUCCAAAAGUACAAUAUUACUGCAUAAUGUUACUGGAUGUUACCUGUUGGUAGAUAUUCAAAUUAAAUUGAUUAUAUAUUGGUAGAUAAGAGAUUUGCUAAUAAUAUAAAAAUACAACCAUGUCAUAUUGUGAAUAAGAAAUAAUCAUUAGUAUAAAAAGAAAAAAAGCUCAUAACAUUAUAAGAAGUGAAAAGAGGAUGUAUAUUCAGAACAACAAAGCAGAACAAUAUUAUAGAUUACACAAGACACAUCAGCUAUUCUGCAAAGUGAAUAGCUUAAGAGGUGAAUAUAAAAUGCAAGAAAUUUUUUUGAAAAAAUAUAAACCUAGGUAUUUUCAUAUUGCAUCCUAGACAGAAUCUUAAACAAAUGAUAGAAGAAGGGUUAGGGAAUUAUUAUUCAAUACACUUUAAUUAAAAAUAUUUGUAAUAAAAAAUAAGUAAAAUAAAACUUUAUUUUUUUUUUAAUUUAAAAUAACAUAUUACAAAUAAUAUAAAUAAUAAAAAGUGAAUAACAGCUAUGCCUGGGAUAUAUAGUAAUUGUACAAUAACUACUAAUUCAAAUUAAUUUUUAAAAUAAUAUU